rnacentral:rRNA from 1 species
AAUCAACGCUGGCGGCGUGCCUAACACAUGCAAGUCGAACGCGAAAGUCCCGCAAGGGAUCAGUAGAGUGGCAAACGGGUGAGUAACACGUGGGUGACCUGCCUUCGAGUGGGGGAUAACGUCCCGAAAGGGACGCUAAUACCGCAUGACAUCCUGCCUUUGAAGAGGCGGAGAUCAAAGCUGGGGAUCGCAAGACCCUAGCGCUUGAAGAGGGGCCCGCGUCCGAUUAGCAGUUGGUGGGGUAAGUGGCUCACCAAGGCGACGAUCGGUAGCCGGCCUGAGGAGGCGGACGGCCACACUGGGACUGAGACACGG